rnacentral:tRNA from 1 species
GGGACGGUAGCUUAAGAGAUCAGAGCACUGGACUGUCGAUCCAGCAGGUGUGGGUUUGAAUCCCAUGCGUCCCGCCA